UCCCACAAAUCCCAAACCCUUUUUUAAGUUUUAACACAAUAACACCUUUCCCCGUCUAACCCUAAACACACAGACCGAAACUCUCUAUCCUGCUUCGUGCCCUCGCACCUCCGUCAGCCUCCGACGCAUUCGCCUCUCCGAUGCGUCCACCUCUUCUUUGUCGCGUCUGCCUUUGAUCCUCACGUGGGAUUCUUCUUCUCGUCGCGUCCAGCUACUCGCCGAGUUGCUGUCUCUCUCCGUCUCCCCUAUCUCUCCUUUGGGUUUGAGCGAAACAAUGCAAGGUCAUCAUGAUGAUCAUACAAAGGAAAUAGAUGGCUCAAAGAAAAAUUUGAAGACCAACAGCACACCAAAAGAAAGAACUAGCUCAAAAGAAAUCUCAGCUUGAGGCUUACUCAAGAAGCACUUGUGAAGAUAAUGUUUUUGUGUUAAAGCUUGUGUGUUUCAAUUGUUUGUAUGUUUGGAACAUGGUCUGUUCUUUGAUGCUGUUGGAUUUGAUCUAAAGUAAAUAAUGUUUUAUGUUGUUUUUAAUUUUCUAUUUUCAUUUAUUACAUUUGCAGGGGAGAGGAAAUAAUUGAUGACAACAAUGAUAGUAACAAAUGUUAGAAGAUACAAGUUUCUUUGAUUAUUACAUCCUAGAAGAGUCAAGAAUAUUUUGGUGCACCUGAACUUUUUAAAGUUCUCUGUUAUUGGAUUUAUAAUGCUAUAUAACACUAAUGAAACUCUCAGACCUUGAUAAUGGCAGAUCUCAAAGAGCGGCUACUUCCACCAAAACCUGCGUCAGCUUUAAAUGUAAGAGAGACUGCUAAUCGACCAUCUGCCUCUGGAAGGCUACCUUUUCAAGGUAUGGAUGUUCUUGGGCUAAAGAAGCGAGGUCAAGGUAUCCGAUCAUGGAUUCGUGUUGACACAUCUGGGAACUCCCAAGCAAUUGAAGUAGACAAGUUUACAAUGAUGCGACGUUGUGAUCUACCUGCUCGUGAUCUUCGCCUUCUUGAUCCUCUGUUUGUAUACCCCUCAACGAUCCUUGGUAGAGAAAAGGCUAUUGUUGUAAAUCUAGAGCAGAUACGGUGUAUUAUUACGGCAGAUGAGGUUCUUCUCUUGAAUUCCCUUGAUAGUUAUGUACUGCACUAUGUGAUGGAGCUACAACGACGGUUGACAACUGGGGUAGGUGAGGUCUGGCAGUCGGACGGUUCUGACAUGAGCCGAAGGAGGGGAAGUAGGACUUUUGAAAAUGUCAUUAGCAACACUUCCCCUGAUUAUUUGCCGUUUGAGUUUAGGGCUCUUGAAGUUGCCCUGGAAGCGGCAUGCACAUUUCUUGACUCUCAGGCAGCAGAGUUAGAAAUUGAGGCUUAUCCUUUGCUGGAUGAAUUAACAUCAAAGAUCAGUACUCUUAAUUUAGAACGUGUUCGUCGACUGAAAAGCAGACUUGUUGCACUGACUAGGAGGGUUCAAAAGGUGGUUAGAGAUGAAAUAGAGCAACUUAUGGAUGAUGAUGGUGAUAUGGCCGAAAUGUACCUUACGGAGAAGAAAAGACGGAUGGAGUUAUCAUUUUGUGGAGAUCAGUCGUUGGUUGGAUAUAGGUCUCUUGAUGGUGCAUCUAUUUCUGCCCCCGUUUCUCCUGUUUCAUCACCUCCUGAUUCUCGAAGGCUUGAAAAGAGUUUGAGCAUUGCUAGGAGUCGACAUGAGAGCUCGAGGAGCACUGAGAGUACCACCGAAAGUAUAGAAGAGCUUGAGAUGUUGCUAGAAGCAUACUUUGUUGUCAUUGACAGCACGCUAAACAAGUUGACAUCAUUGAAAGAGUACAUUGAUGAUACGGAAGAUUUUAUCAACAUUCAACUGAAAGGCUAAGAACCACAGGCCAACCCAAAGUCAACCGCAUGCUCAGGUGCCCAAGAAAUUAAAAGAAUAACUAGUUUGAUGGUUGGUAUUAGACGGCCUUUGACUGUUAGGUUAUAAAGAAAACCACUCUUGCAAGUGGUAUUAUUAAUUACUUAAAACCGGUCCAGAAAAUUAUCACUGGAAGCAAAGCAGAAUGGAAUUGAAUUUUAGUGAUGAUGAAUAUGACUCUCAGGUGUGAGUCUUCAACAUCAUCACCUCCUACACCUCCCUCUCCUCUUCCCAUAAGUUUCGGGCCCGGCAACUUGAGAUACUCCUUUUCUGUAUCUUCAACUCCUUCGCCGCCCUUCUCACCACCAUCCUCCAUUCAUACUUCAGCCGAGAAUCUUCCCCUUCUCUGCAAGGCAUCAGUAUUUUCAUUGGAUUAUCAGCAUCCUCAAGUGUUGGAAUCUAGGAGCACAUGCUUCAAGGACUUGUUGGAAUGGGUUUUACAAAGAUGUUGCAGCUGCUGUAAAGGGUUUCGUCGAAUCUUCCUAAUGCCACAUAACAGUUCAAGAAUUCAAUGCUGUUGUCGAUAGAGUUUAUUACCAAUGGUUAUUAUUUAUUACGUUCAAUAGUCAAUAGUUCAAUUGGAUAGCUUAAGUCCACUGCAUUCAAUCUCCACAGUAGAUUUCUUUUCUCUCUCUCUUGUAAAACUUAAGUAAAGUAUUAUCAACACCAAUGAGCUCUGAAGUCUGAACUCAUGUUGUCAAUUUUCCUGAUUACUUUUGUGUGUUCUCUAUGUAUAUUUACAUGACAUUUUAAAAUUCAA